rnacentral:rRNA from 1 species
AUGGAGGAGGAGUUCAUCAGCCUUGGCGACGAAUCUUGUGUAGCUCCCACUCCCAAGGAUAAGGAUGGCAUCAUACACCUCCAGGUCCAGCAAAACCAAUUCCAAGCCGUCCAUCUCGAUAUCAUGGAUGCACCACCACCACCACCACCACCACAGACACAGACUCAGCCACAAGACAAUGUCGACAUCAAUGCCAAUGCGGCUUCUUCUUGUGUUCCAGUUGAAAUACCCAAGGGCCGGACCACGGAAUCAGCUGUUCGUCUUGUCUACACCAACUUGACAAGGGAAAGCAAAAGGAAGCUCAUGGAGCUGAUGCAACAAUGGUCCCACUGCCAAGCUACUAGAAUUACAAACCAACCCAAUUCUUAUUCAACGGUUGAGGAUAUGGACCUCUCGGAUGACAACAACGUGCUCCUUGUUACAAAACAUGGUGUUUCAGCUGAAAUGGGCAAGGGCAGUGGGCCUGAGGCUGCCCUUGUUCAUGCUUCAAGAACGAGCAGCGCCCUUAUCGACCAAAGCCCCACAAGAGGAGAUAACAGAGCCCCGACGGAAUCAACUGAGCCUUCUGUUAGCCUAGUCUACAACAACUUGACAAGAGAAAGCAAGAGAGAGCUCAUGGAACUGAUGCAACAAUGGUCCGAGUGGCAGGCUACAAAACAACCCAACUCAACGGAAUCUGCGGAACAGGUCUUGGAUUGUGGUGAAGAGACUUAUUAUCCAGCAAUACAUGUUGGUUCAGAGAGACCUUGUGCUGUGUCAUUCUGGGUGGAUAAUAACCAAGCACGAGAAAAUGCUGCUGUGGAUGUGGAUGUGGAUGAUGGCGCGGUGCCCCUGUACGAUCGAGAAUUUACAUUGGGUGAUUCAUCAAAUGCUGAGAGCAAGAAAGAAGAUGAGAAGGAUGGUUGGCGGUGUCUCAACUGUGCUUCAUCUAGUCAUGCUCUCAAGGACUGCCCAAACCCUCACGACCAUGUUUCAAUUAGCAUGGCCCGCGAGCAGGUGAAGUUGAAAAGGAAAAUAUCUAAAGUUAUUCGUCAGCAAAAUCGGCCUCUAAAGCGCCGUUACCUCUGA